rnacentral:rRNA from 1 species
UAUCAGAAGUGCGAAUGCUGACAUAAGUAACGAUAAAGCGGGUGAAAAGCCCGCUCGCCGGAAGACCAAGGGUUCCUGUCCAACGUUAAUCGGGGCAGGGUGAGUCGACCCCUAAGGCGAGGCCGAAAGGCGUAGUCGAUGGGAAACGGGUUAAUAUUCCCGUACUUGGUGUUACUGCGAAGGGGGGACGGAGAAGGCUAUGUUGGCCGGGCGACGGUUGUCCCGGUUUAAGCGUGUAGGUGUGUGUUCCAGGUAAAUCCGGUUCACUUUAACACUGAGGCGUGACGACGAGGCACUACGGUGCUGAAGCAACAAAUGCCCUGCUUCCAGGAAAAGCCUCUAAGCAUCAGGUAACAUCAAAUCGUACCCCAAACCGACACAGGUGGUCAGGUAGAGAAUACCAAGGCGCUUGAGAGAACUCGGGUGAAGGAACUAGGCAAAAUGGUGCCGUAACUUCGGGAGAAGGCACGCUGACAUGUAGGUGAAGUGAUUUACUCAUGGAGCUGAAGUCAGUCGAAGAUACCAGCUGGCUGCAACUGUUUAUUAAAAACACAGCACUGUGCAAACACGAAAGUGGACGUAUACGGUGUGACGCCUGCCCGGUGCCGGAAGGUUAAUUGAUGGGGUCAGCGCAAGCGAAGCUCCUGAUCGAAGCCCCGGUAAACGGCGGCCGUAACUAUAACGGUCCUAAGGUAGCGAAAUUCCUUGUCGGGUAAGUUCCGACCUGCACGAAUGGCGUAAUGAUGGCCAGGCUGUCUCCACCCGAGACUCAGUGAAAUUGAACUCGCUGUGAAGAUGCAGUGUACCCGCGGCAAGACGGAAAGACCCCGUGAACCUUUACUAUAGCUUGACACUGAACAUUGAGCCUUGAUGUGUAGGAUAGGUGGGAGGCUUUGAAGUGUGGACGCCAGUCUGCAUGGAGCCGGCCUUGAAAUACCACCCUUUAAUGUUUGAUGUUCUAACGUGGACCCGUGAUCCGGGUUGCGGACAGUGUCUGGUGGGUAGUUUGACUGGGGCGGUCUCCUCCUAAAGAGUAACGGAGGAGCACGAAGGUUGGCUAAUCCUGGUCGGACAUCAGGAGGUUAGUGCAAUGGCAUAAGCCAGCUUGACUGCGAGCGUGACGGCGCGAGCAGGUGCGAAAGCAGGUCAUAGUGAUCCGGUGGUUCUGAAUGGAAGGGCCAUCGCUCAACGGAUAAAAGGUACUCCGGGGAUAACAGGCUGAUACCGCCCAAGAGUUCAUAUCGACGGCGGUGUUUGGCACCUCGAUGUCGGCUCAUCACAUCCUGGGGCUGAAGUAGGUCCCAAGGGUAUGGCUGUUCGCCAUUUAAAGUGGUACGCGAGCUGGGUUUAGAACGUCGUGAGACAGUUCGGUCCCUAUCUGCCGUGGGCGCUGGAGAACUGAGGGGGGCUGCUCCUAGUACGAGAGGACCGGAGUGGACGCAUCACUGGUGUUCGGGUUGUCAUGCCAAUGGCACUGCCCGGUAGCUAAAUGCGGAAGAGAUAAGUGCUGAAAGCAUCUAAGCACGAAACUUGCCCCGAGAU